UUUUUUAACGAUCUAAGCGCACGGAGUGAAGCGCCUGGCGCAGGUGCGUUUAGGGCGUGUCCAAAUCCACUUUUGCUAGUUUGAUGGCGGAAAAAAGGUUCUGAGCGCCGGGCGGAGGGUUCAAAGUGGCUGUACUUAGUGUCUUCAUUAAUUCAUACGUGUGUUUUGGACGUAACAUGCAAUAAGCCAAUCAGAGUUCAUGUCCCAUUCCCUUUAAAAGCCAGGCGCAAUUGUACCUUGGAGCAUUGCU